AGAGUUUGAUCCUGGCUCAGAUUGAACGCUGGCGGCAUGGCUAAAACAUGCAAGUCGAACGAGAACCUCGCAAGAGGGGACAGUGGCGGAAGGGUCAGUAAUGAGAUCGAAUGUACCCCGAGGUGGAGGAUAGCGCCGGGAAACCGACGGUAAUACUCCAUGUCCUCUUCGGAGAAAAGAUUUAUCGCCUUGGGAGCAGCGAUCUUCCUAUCAGGUAGUUGGCGGGGUAAAAGCCCACCAAGCCGAAGACGGGUAGCGGGUGUGAGAGCACGGCCCGCGACAUCGAGACUGAGACACUGCUCGGACUCCUACGGGAGGCUGCAGUAACGAAUAUUCCGCAAUGGGCGAAAGCCUGACGGAGCAAUGCCGCGUGCAGGAUGAAGCGGUUUCGCCGUGUAAACUGCUGUCAGGGGCAAGAAAUACUGAUCUGCCUCAGAGGAAGAGCCGGCUAACCCUGUGCCAGCAGCCGCGGUAAGACAGGGGGCUCGAGCGUUAAUCGGAAUCACUGGGCUUAAAGGGUGCGUAGGCGGGUCGGUAAGCAUCCCGUGAAAUCCCCCGGCUCAACCGGGGAACCGCGGGAUGGACUGCCGAUCUUGAGGAAGCUAGAGGCGGGUAGAACGAUAGGUGGAGCGGUGGAAUGCGUAGAUAUCUAUCGGAAUGCCGAAAGUGAAGACAGCCGCUGGGGCUUUCCUGACGCUAAAGCACGAAAGCGUGGGGAGCAAACCGGAUUAGAUACCCUAGUAGUCC
rnacentral:rRNA from 1 species